rnacentral:rRNA from 1 species
AUUGAACGCUGGCGGCAUGCCUUACACAUGCAAGUCGAACGGCAGCACGGGAGCAAUCCUGGUGGCGAGUGGCGAACGGGUGAGUAAUAUAUCGGAACGUGCCCAGUCGUGGGGGAUAACGUAGCGAAAGCUACGCUAAUACCGCAUACGAUCUACGGAUGAAAGCGGGGGAUCGCAAGACCUCGCGCGAUUGGAGCGGCCGAUAUCAGAUUAGCUAGUUGGUGGGGUAAAAGCUCACCAAGGCGACGAUCUGUAGCUGGUCUGAGAGGACGACCAGCCACACUGGAACUGAGACACGGUCCAGACUCCUACGGGAGGCAGCAGUGGGGAAUUUUGGACAAUGGGCGAAAGCCUGAUCCAGCAAUGCCGCGUGCAGGACGAAGGCC